GCCGGCGCCCCGCCCCUCACUCUCUGUCGGGUCCCUGAGGUACCCUCGGCUCCCCGGAGAUUUCUGGUAGGGCCGACUGUCUCCUGAAUUGCUGACGCCGCUGCCGCCGUCCAAGUGGGGCUGGACCUUGCCAACGUUCCAGAUAGUCACGGGGUGGGGAGGGAGUGAAGUUCCCAGCUUAUGGGCAUGACACUGCAGAAUCUUUGGUCCUCUGUCCUCCUCUCACAAAUGGAGAAAAUUGGAGCCACCACAGUGGUAUGGGGAACUGAACAGGACUCUUCAUGCACACCAGGCAAGUGCUCUACUGCUGAGCUGCUGUCCCCAAGCCUCCUGCUGGAACCUGCUGGCAGCCUCAACCUGGCUACUACUAAUACAGGAAACAGACUGCUUUCUCUCAGAUCACAGACUGUUAUCAAAACUUCCCGAGGAUCAGGUCAGAGGAGGAAUCUGCCACCCUCUUAAUUACCCUGCCUUCCACGAAGGGCAGGGAAUCACCACUUGCAGAGGGCAGCCAGCUGCCAAUAAAGCUGUUAGGCUCA